rnacentral:rRNA from 1 species
GACGAACGCUGGCGGCGUGCUUAACACAUGCAAGUCGAACGGAAAGGCCCUGCUUUUGUGGGGUGCUCGAGUGGCGAACGGGUGAGUAACACGUGAGUAACCUGCCCUUGACUUUGGGAUAACUUCAGGAAACUGGGGCUAAUACCGGAUAGGAGCUCCUGCUGCAUGGUGGGGGUUGGAAAGUUUCGGCGUUUGGGGAUGGACUCGCGGCUUAUCUGCUUGUUGGUGGGGUAGUGGCUUACCAAGGCUUUCACGGGUAGCGGGCCUGAGAGGGUGACCGGCACAAUGGGGCUUGGGAUACGCCCAGGGUACGACUGGGGGGAACAGGUGGGGACAAUCGCAAAACGGGCGGAAGCUUGAUGAAGAAACGCGGCGUGGGGAAGGCGGGCUUUGGGUUUGGAAACCGGUUUGCCUUGUAACGAAGGGGGAGUAACGUUAUUGGGUAAAGAACAACCGGCUACCUCCGU